AACCUCACUCAUGGAACUCUGCCAUGCUCUUUUUCUCUUUCCAGUUGGCUAAAAUGGGAAGGACCCCAGGGUGACCUUGGAAGCUCUCUGUGUGUGGGAGACAGAAGAGUCUCCAUCAGCCUGAAGUCAGAGGAUAGACACCCUUCAAACCUGUUUGCUCACCUUCUGCUGAUACAUACGGACUGGAAACAUAUGGAAGUGAGUCCUGCUUAGCUCACGUCUCAUACCUAAGGAACUGGCUGAAGAACUCCCAUCUGUGAAGACCCACUACUGCUGAUUUCAUCAUCUGCAUGCAGGGCUCACCUCCAGAAUUCUUCGCUUCUGACCCUGACAGAGCUAGCAGGACACUGAGACCUGAAACAGAAAGAGAAGAAGAUAGUUCAGGAGUGGGGUUCCCUGGGGCUUUGCUUGGCUAAAGC